rnacentral:misc_RNA from 1 species
AACGCAUCUUGCACCCUUUGGUAUUCCGAAGGGUAUGCCUGUUUGAGUGUCAUUAAAUUCUCAAUCCUUUUGAACUUUGUUUGAUUGGAUUGGACUUGAGGGUUUUGUUGGCUUGAAAAAGUUCGACUCCCUUUAAAUGCAUAAGUGGCUUAGUUGGUCCCCAUUAAUUGGUGUGAUAAUAUUAUCUACAUCAUAACAAUGGCAAUGUUAGCUGCUUUCUAACUGUCCUUUGGACAAUUUGAACCAUUUGACCUCAAAUCAGGUAGGACUACCCGCUGAACUUAA